AGUAUACGCAGUUCAUUCGUCAGGUGAGCCAGUAUAGUCAGAUCAUUCGUCUGGUGAGUCAGUAUAUGCAGAUCUCUCGCCAGGUGAGUCAAUAUAGUCAGAUCAUUCGUCAGGUGAGUCAGUAUACGCAGAUCUCUCGCCAGGUGAAUCAAUAUAGUCAGGUCAUUCGUCAGGUGAGUCAAUAUAGUCAGAUCAUUCGUCAGGUGAGUCAGUAUAGUCAGAUCAUUCGUCAGGUGAGUCAGUAUAUGCAGAUCUCUCGCCAGGUGAGUCAAUAUAGUCAGAUCAUUCGUCAGGUGAGUCAGUAUAUGCAGAUCUCUCGCCAGGUGAGUCAAUAUAGUCAGAUCAUUCGUCAAGUGAGUCAGUAUAUCCAGAUCUCUCGCCAGGUGAGUCAAUAUAGUCAGAUCAUUCGUCAAGUGAGUCAGUAUAUGCAGAUCCCUCGUUAGGUGUAACAGUAUAUAGAAUAUUGUAAUGUCUCAUCAGAUGAAACAUAAAACCAAAUAUGUAGAUCUAAUCCCGCACUGUGGAGGUGAGUUUCUUGAAAGUAUCUAGAAAGCCCCUGGGUAGACAGUUAAGGAAGAUCCCUAUCCAGGUGAGUUAGUAUGUGCUGAUUUCUCACCAGGCGAGAGCAUGCAGAUCCCUCGUCAGGUGAGACAAUAGACAGAGCAUGCAGGUCUCUCGUCAGGUGUGACAAUAGAUAGAAUAGCCUAUACCCCAUCAGGUGAGACAGAUCCCUCGCCAUGUCCGUGUGAGAAGCCGCAAUCAGCAUUCAAAUGAAAUGAUACAGUCAGCACAAGUCACACUCGUCAGGUUGAAAGGCAUUUACCACACAAUGCAAUCCGUAGUAUCUCCCUCUCAGUAACCAGAUCCAAUACACCACCUAGUUGUUAUCACAGAUAGGACCUCUACACAGAAAGUGGGGAUCAGUGUCCUGUCUGGGAUGUGUCUGAAGAAGAUAUAUACACUUUCAUGUUUACAUCAGAGUUAAUUCCUUAUUUCCUGAGUGAAAACUAAACAUGAGUUGGCGUAUAAACAUGUCAACAUACAUAUUCAAGAUAUAAAAUGUUAUUUAUUUAUGCAAAUAUAUGAAUCGUGUACAUGAUCCGUGUGAUGGUGAAUAUCAAUAAAAACACAUACGUGUAUCUGCACAUUCAUCCUUGAUAAUGUAGUGUUCUCCAUUCACAUUGUUAUUCCGAGGGCGCAGAUGUUGCUGGAAUUGUUCCACCACCUGCAGUAUUGUUUUAUGCAUGCAGCAAUUCGGUUGAAACAAUACACCAUUACUGUUACCUGAAUGUUUCAACAAUAUUACAAGAAUAAUGCAGUAUUGAUACAAGAAUGUUGCAAUACUGUUUAAAGCAUGCUGCAAUAUUGUAACAAAAUGCCGAAAUGCCGAAUACUGCAACUUUGUUGUAACAAUACUUAAGUAUUGUUUAAAGAAUGCUGCAAUUUUGAUACAGCAUGCAGCAGUACAGUUCCAAGAAUAUUUUACAAGGAUGUUGCAAAAUAGUUAUGAGGAUGCUGCAAUAAUGUUACUGCAAUAAUGUUACUGCAACAGUGUUUAAAGCAUACAACAGUAUUGUUCCAAGAAUUCUACAAUAUUGUCACAAGUGUGAUGAGAUGGUUCCGAUAAGAUCGAAAAAAUUUAUGCUUGACACUAUGCACGGGACCUGUAGUCUUAACACAUCCUCCAUCUUCAAAGCUGACACCGAAUUUACAGAAACGACUGACACACUGUUAUAGCUCACUCCUUUGUAUCACAUAAAUACCGGCAACGAAUUGAUACCAAAUGUAUCAGUGCAGGGAUUCCUAAUUCAAUUAAAAAGGCAAUGUCUGGAAACGUUGUAGUGGACUGAGUUGAAGACGUGAUUAUGUAC